AAGUGUGAUGCCCAGCCUGUGCUGUGGGGAUGCCAGGGCUGCUGAGGGCUCCAGCCCCGCUGCCGGCUCUGAUUUCAGCCCCCCUUGCUGCCGUUCCAGCUCCUCAGCCUUUCCCGGGAUGGACAUGACCGGAGGUCAAUGAUUGUCAGCGCUGGCGGAGGACACGGAAGCUGGCACAGGAGGGCAGAUGCCGUGUUGGUGUGGGGCUGGUGCCCACUGCAGACAGUGGCAUGGAUCCACGCAGGCCUCUGGUGCCAGG